rnacentral:rRNA from 1 species
AUGGAUAUAUGUGAUGGUUGGUUGUCAUUACUGAAGCAAGAAUUGUUGAUGAUGACUACCUUUCGAGCAGGUUUACCGUUCGUCUUGCUAAUGUUAAUUUGUAUGUUUUCAUUUUUUUUUUCCUUCUCCAUUUUGUUGUAUAAUCUAUGGAUGUUGUCCAGAAAGUAUUUUGCAACUUCAGAAAUCCAAAAUUAUGGUUCUGAUGUUAAUGGCCAGGAUGAUGUGAUAGCCUCUUUUGAUCCGUAUCUAUUUUUUCAAAGCUUGAAAGAUAUACUUGCAGUAUGGUCUGUGGAUCUCCUUUGCUUUGUGAUACUGUACCCAUUUUGGAACAAUAUGGCAUCAAAGCAUUUGUUUUUUGUCCGGCCAAUAAUGUAA